rnacentral:rRNA from 1 species
UACGUAGGGUGCAAGCGUUGCCCGGAUUUAUUGGGCGUAAAGGGCGCGCAGGCGGCUACGCACGUCCGUUGUGAAAUCGCUCGGCUCAACUGGGCGGGGUCGGCGGAUACGGCGUAGCUGGAGCAAGCUAGGGGGCAAUGGAAUUCCCGGUGUAGUGGUGGAAUGCGUAGAUAUCGAGAGGAACACCAGUGGCGAAGGCGGUUGCCUGGAGCUUUGCUGACGCUGAGGCGCGAAAGCGUGGGGAGCGAGCCGG